GACAGAGUAGAGUUGGUUCAGAGGAGAUGGAGGAGUUGGACAGGACAGAGAGAGAGAGUAGAGUUGAGUUCAGUGUACAACUGUUUUCUCUCACUGAUUCAUAGGUAAUCUCUUCUUUGUUUGCCGGUGGUUGUCAUGCUGAUGAGCUCCGUCGCAGGUUAAUAACUUCACAUUCUGUUCACUUCCUGGUUCGGAAAAGAGAGAUAGGAAGUGCAGGUGUAACGUACUUCAGACAGAGUCCUUCUUUCCAUGUACUGCAGUCAGGUCAUAGUUCUAUCUUGGUAUAUCUUGGUAUCCAGGGGUCAGGUGUUAGUUAUAUCUUUGUAUAUCUUGGUAUCCAGGGGUCAGGUAUUAGUUAUAUCUUGGUAUCCAGGGGUCAGGUAUUAGUUAUAUCUUGGUAUAUCUUGGUAUCCAGGGGUCAGGUAUUAGUUAUAUCUUGGUAUCCAGGGGUCAGGUGUUAGUUAUAUCUUGGUAACCAGGGGACAGGUAUUAGUUAUAUCUUGGUAUCCAGGGGUCAGGUGUUAGUUAUAUCUUGGUGUCCAGGGGUCAGGUGUUAGUUAUAUCUUGGUAUCCAGGGGUCAGGUGUUAGUUAUAUCUUGGUAUCCAGGGGUCAGGUAUUAGUUAUAUCUUGGUAUAUCUUGGUAUCCAGGGGUCAGCUGUUAGUUAUAUCUUGGUAUCCAGGGGUCAGGUAUUAGUUAUAUCUUGGUAUAUCUUGGUAACCAGGGGUCAGGUGUUAGUUAUAUCUUGGUAUCCAGGGGUCAGGUGUUAGUUAUAUCUUGGUAUAUCUUGGUAUCCAGGGGUCAGGUAUUAGUUAUAUCUUGGUAUCCAGGGGUCAGGUGUUAGUUAUAUCUUGGUAUCCAGGGGUCAGGUAUUAGUUAUAUCUUGGUAUCCAGGGGUCAGGUAUUAGUUAUAUCUUGGUAUCCAGGGGUCAGGUAUUAGUUAUAUCUUGGUAUCCAGUAGUCAGGUGUUAGUUAUAUCUUGGUAUCCAGGGGUCAGGUGUUAGUUAUAUCUUGGUAUAUCUUGGUAUCCAGGGGUCAGGUGUUAGUUAUAUCUUGGUAUAUCUUGGUAUCCAGGGGUCAGGUAUUAGUUAUAUCUUGGUAUAUCUUGGUAUCUAGGGGUCAGGUAUUAGAUACAUCUUGGUAUAUCUUGGUAUCCAGGGGUCAGGUAUUAGUUACAUCUUGGUAUAUCUUGGUAUCCAGGGGUCAGGUAUUAGUUAUAUCUUGGUAUCCAGGGGUCAGGUAUUAGUUAUAUCUUGGUAACCAGGGGUCAGGUAUUAGUUAUAUCUUGGUAUCCAGGGGUCAGGUGUUAGUUAUAUCUUGGUGUCCAGGGGUCAGGUGUUAGUUAUAUCUUGGUAUAUCUUGGUAUCCAGGGGUCAGGUAUUAGUUAUAUCUUGGUAUAUCUUGGUAUCCAGGGGUCAGGUGUUAGUUAUAUCUUGGUAUCCAGGGGUCAGGUGUUAGUUAUAUCUUGGUAUAUCUUGGUAUCCAGGGUUCAGGUAUUAGUUACAUCUUGGUAUAU